AGUAGCCGCGGUAAUACGGAGGGUGCAAGCGUUAAUCGGAAUUACUGGGCGUAAAGCGCACGCAGGCGGUCUGACAAGUCAGAUGUGAAAUCCCCGGGCUUAACCUGGGAACUGCAUUUGAAACUGUCAGGCUGGAGUCUUGUAGAGGGGGGUAGAAUUCCAGGUGUAGCGGUGAAAUGCGUAGAGAUCUGGAGGAAUACCGGUGGCGAAGGCGGCCCCCUGGACAAAGACUGACGCUCAGGUGCGAAAGCGUGGGGAGCAAACAGGAUUAGAUACCCCUGUAGUCCCUGUCUCUUAUACA
rnacentral:rRNA from 1 species